GAUGAACGCUGGCGGCGUGCCUAAUACAUGCAAGUCGAGCGGACAGACGCGGAGCUUGCUCCUCUGACGUUAGCGGCGGACGGGUGAGUAACACGUGGAUAACCUACCUAUAAGACUGGGAUAACUUCGGGAAACCUGAGCUAAUACCGGAUAAUAUAUUGAACCGCAUGGUUCAAUAGUGAACGACGGUUUUGCUGUCACUUAUAGAUGGAUCCGCGCCGCAUUAGCUAGUUGGUAAGGUAACGGCUUACCAAGGCAACGAUGCGUAGCCGACCUGAGAGGGUGAUCGGCCACACUGGAACUGAGACACGGUCCAGACUCCUACGGGAGGCAGCAGUAGGGAAUCUUCCGCAAUGGGCGAAAGCUUGACGGAGCAACGCCGCGUGAGUGAUGAAGGUCUUCGGAUCGUAAAACUCUGUUAUUAGGGAAGAACAAAUGUGUAAGUAACUAUGCACGUCUUGACGGUACCUAAUCAGAAAGCAACGGCUAACUACGUG
rnacentral:rRNA from 1 species